UACGUAGGGACCAAGCGUUGUUCGGAUUUACUGGGCGUAAAGGGCGCGUAGGCGGCAUGACAAGUCACUUGUGAAAUCUCUGGGCUUAACCCAGAACGGCCAAGUGAUACUGUCGCGCUAGAGUGCGGAAGGGGCAAUCGGAAUUCUCGGUGUAGCGGUGAAAUGCGUAGAUAUCGAGAGGAACACCUGUGGCGAAGGCGCCUUGCUGGCCAAUUUCUGACGCUGAGGCGCGAAAGCGUGGGGGAGCGAACAGG
rnacentral:rRNA from 1 species